rnacentral:rRNA from 1 species
UACGGAGGGUGCAAGCGUUAAUCGGAAUUACUGGGCGUAAAGCGUGCGCAGGCGGUUUGUUAAGUCUGCUGUGAAAUCCCCGAGCUCAACUUGGGAAUUGCAGUGGAUACUGGCAGGCUGGAGUAUGGUAGAGGAAGGUGGAAUUCCCGGUGUAGCAGUGAAAUGCGUAGAGAUCGGGAGGAACACCAGUGGCGAAGGCGGGUCUCUGGGCCGAUACUGACGCUGAGGAGCGAAAGCGUGGGGAGCGAACAGG